GAAAAUGCUGAACUUUGGCUGGGGAAGCUUGGAGUCAGGAGGUGUCUGAGCACAGGGCAGACCCAUCACUGGAUCUUCACCCAUGUUCCUGCCUCUGCAGCAGAUGUGAUGUGCCUGCAAGCUAGAGAAGCAUGCUCUUACCCACUGGUUUCUUUGGCAGCCACGAGGAGCCUGCAUCUCUGCUGCUGAGCAGCGUGACCCAUCGGGCACAGCCUGAGCUUGUCAGCUACCUGCUUAUGUCUCCCUAUUGUGUGAUAAGUUUCCAAACUGAGAUUCUGUCCUGUUGCUGUAUGAACACUGCUGUGCAGUUAUGAGCAGCAGGACAUAGGAACUGUGCGGUGCUCAUGAAACCAGUUGUGGAUGGUCUAUCACUUGUCUAUCUUGGGUGCUCAUUGCAUUCCUCCUCUGUGCUCAGGUUUAUAGAACUACUUCAGGGAAAAAAAACAGAUCCAGCUGAGAGGGAGACCUUGCUCUAUGGCUUUAUAAAAUCUGAGCAUGAAGCCCUCAUACUGUGGAGGCGAUUAGAAAAGGGAUUGCAACUCAGAGCUUGUCUGCUACAAAGAGAAUUGCAAGAAUUGUGUUGGACACCCUGUGAGGAACACGUGGUUUGUGCAUUUAGAAACAAAGGAAAAGUUGUGGAGCUAGUAGUACUAAAUCUUGAGUACUGUUCCAUUUGAUUGUAUGAUCAAUUAGCAAUAAAUUCUCAGCAGACUUAAUGUCUCUUAGAUAU
rnacentral:lncRNA from 1 species